rnacentral:rRNA from 1 species
UACGUAGGGUGCGAGCGUUGUCCGGAAUUAUUGGGCGUAAAGAGCUCGUAGGCGGUGUGUCACGUCGGCCGUGAAAACCUGCAGCUUAACUGUGGGCGUGCGGUCGAUACGGGCAUCACUGGAGUUCGGCAGGGGAGACUGGAAUUCCUGGUGUAGCGGUGAAAUGCGCAGAUAUCAGAAGGAACGCCGGUGGCGAAAGCGAGCGACUGGAUCUCUACUGACGCUGAGGCGCGAAAGCCAGGGGAGCAAACGGG